UGUGAGAGUGAUGAGUUGCACUUAAUCACUUGGGGUGUGUUGCAGUGGCAACGGCACCCUGAGCCGACCCAACCUGAGGACACACGCUGUGCACAGGGGCCAUCUGACUCCAC